UGUUAUUGUCAUUUCACUUUUUUUUUACAAAUGAUAUCGUAAUAACACGUGAAAUUUGUAUUUGACUAGAAACCUUAUAAUUUUUUCCCCAUUCUAUGAUUUUCCUCAAUCUUCAAAAUUCUGUCAGACGUUGUUAGCUUUGGAGACAUUUUAAAAGAUUCACGAACACUGACAUUGUGUUUGGUAGAACAAUCGGGAUAAAUACAAUAGCAAUUCAAACAGGUGCACCCAGAAUAGAAAUAUUACACUUUUACAAAUUUAUACUGAAUGAAGAAUUUCAUAGCUUAUCUUUUAUGACAAAAUUUUUUAAAAUCUAUCUAUUGGUAUACAAAUUGUCAAACAGAUAUACAUGUAUUCAUAAAACAUUUGGAACAGGACUACUGUAACAUAUGUAAGUUACUACUUACAAUCUUGAUGUGUGCAACAUAAUUCUAGUCCAAUUAAAUAUCGCUGUAAAGCAAAAAGAGCGACCAUUAGUCAUGUAAUUAUCAUAAUUUGGUAACAAAUACAGAAUUUAACAAUAAAUGUAGACCUGCAUGGUUUAUCAUAACACCAUUACAUGAAAAUGUAAAUAAUUGGAAGUUGACAAUCAUUUUAGCUCACCCCCUUUAUGUACUUUUUAUUCGCCG
rnacentral:lncRNA from 1 species